UACGUAGGGGGCAAGCGUUGUCCGGAAUCAUUGGGCGUAAAGAGCGUGUAGGCGGCCCGGUAAGUCCGCUGUGAAAGUCAAAGGCUCAACCUUUGAAUGUCAGCGGAUACUGCCGGGCUAGAGUCCGGAAGAGGCAAGUGGAAUUCCCGGUGUAGCGGUGAAAUGCGCAGAUAUCAGGAGGAACACCGAUGGCGAAGGCAGGUCUCUGGGCCGAUACUGACGCUGAGGAGCGAAAGCGUGGGGAGCGAACAGG
rnacentral:rRNA from 1 species